GGUAUUACAGUUAUACAAAAAAUACAAUAUAAGAAAUAAAAGAGACAAUUAAAAUACAAUUUGAAAUCAUUUAUGAAUAUUUAAUGUGACGGAUGUGCCAUGUCCUAUCUUCAGCCACAAAUCCACAGACUUACCUGAUGAAAGUUGUGAACCACAAAGUGGUCCAUGAGCCACAGCUUGGGAACCCCUGAUUUAUACAAUACGCGUGUUGACCAGCUCAUUUUUAAUCAACUUGACAUGGCAAUAAAUUGUGCUCGGGCAACUGCCAAUAAAAUCCGUGCUUUGUUUUAGCCACAUUUGUGACAAAAUAUCCAGAUAAUCCAAUUGUAUCAUACACAAGGUUAAAAAAAACCCAUGCUGCACAGAGAGUGAUUUUGUGUGAAUUGUCCCUCAGCUGCUAUUCCCAAAACGAGCAACUAUGCUGAGGGUUAAGAAGCAGGUUUCUGGAACCUGUGUCUUUCUCAGUUACUUUUUUCAACUGAAAUGUAGAGUUAUGGAAAUGACCUGCAGAAAUAUUCUUGUUCCAGUAAUAAUAAGAAUAAUAAUAAGAAGAAGAAGAAGUAGUAGUAGAAGAAGAAGUUAUGUGAGAAGCAACAUUUUAGAGUGCUUCUGUUUUGUUUUGUUUUGUUUUGUUUUGUUUUGUUUUGUUUUGUUUUGUUUCUUAAUUGCAAGUCAAGUUUGUCUUAAAGCAAAUAGAAGCCACUGAGUUCAGAAUCAUACCCUUGGUCUCCUUCUGUUUUAUGCAUUAGGUUUUCCAAAAUAAAUAAGGCGUUAGAACUAACUGUCACCAAGCAAGUUUCCCUAAAGAGCAGAUUUUAAAGUCCUCCUAAAACAGGGGUAGGCAAAGUAAGGCCUGGGGGCCGGAUGCGGCCCAAUCGCCUUCUCAAUCCGGCCUGCGGACGGUCCGGGAAUCAGUGUGUUUUUACAUGAGUAGAAUGUGUGCUUUUAUUUAAAAUGCAUCUCUGGGUUAUUUGUGGGGCAUAGGAAUUCGUUCAUUAUUAUUUUUUUCAAAAUAUAGUCUGGCUCACCACAUGGUCUGAGGGACGGUGGAUUGGCCCAUGGCUGAAAACAGUUGCUGACCCUUCUCCUAAAACUAUGCUGGCAAUAGGUUGGAAAGCAGUAGAGUGGUACCUCGGGUUACAGAUGCUUCAAGUUAUGCGUUUUCAGGUUGCACACCUCGCCGAACCCAGAAGUACCUGAACGGGUUACUUCCGGGUUUUGGCACUCGCACAUGUGCAGAAGCGCCAAAUUGCAACCCGCACAUGCACAGGCACAGCAAUGUGGGUUGCGAACACUGCAGGUUGUGAACGUGCCUCCCACAUGGAUCACAUUCGCAACCUGAGGAUCCACUGUACAGAGGAAUUCCAAUUGCAUUUCACAGUGAGUGGUAGUUAUUUACACAAGUAUUUGCAUCUGACUAGAUUGGAGUUGAUUUGGCCAAUGCCAUGAUGAUCAAAACUGAGAUAAAUGGGGAUGUGAUGGGCAUGGUGACUUGUCAGAUAGGCAGGCAAAGUUGUGCAGUCUCAAUGCCUGAGGAGGAAAUGGUAGUGUUGGAAGGAGGGGUUUCGAUUUGUUAGCCACUGGGGAACAUUUUGGUACAAGCAAGGCCUGUACAAAGGGGAUAGUUCCACUUGAAUCAAGAAGGAAUCAGACUGUUGGCACUUACAAUAAUAAUUUUAAAAAUCUGGCAGAGUAGCUUUUAAAAUGAUUGUGGGUAGGGAAGAGGAGCUGAGGAGCAUUUUGUUCAGAGCAAAUCAUUCAGAAGAUGUUUAUGAUCAUUUGAAUGAGGCAGAGUUAGAACUAGACACGGAAAGAGGGCACUAUGGAUUUUAGUGUAUUGAUGGCUAGAAGAUGCAGUGAUGGACACCAUUUUUAAUGGCUUUAAAAGAGGAUUAGGCAGAUUCAGGGAGCGUAAGGCUACUGGCUGGGGUGGCGAUGUCCUACCUUCACUGAUGGAGGUGGUAUGCUUUUGAACGCUAGAUGCUGGGAAUUACACAGUGGGAGAGGGCUGUUGCAUUCAGGUCCCGCUCAUGGGCUUUGGAUAAACAUAUUUGGUUGGCCACAGUGAGAACAAUAUGCUGGACCUUUAAUGGGGAUCUUCUGAUGUUUUCAAUGCUAGCUUGUUUCAGUCACAUCAUGUGGCUAGCUUGUUUCAGUGACAACGGAGAAAGAGUACGAACCUCAAAUGCAAAUCAGGAAAUUGCAUACAGUGGGCAAAAUCAUCACCCAGGUGGUACAUAGAUCAGGGAUGAGGGAUGUGUGGCACUCCACAUGUUGCUGGACUCCACCUCCCAUCAACUCCAGCCAGCAUGGUCUAUGAUCCAUGAGAUUAUAGGAGUUCUACUCCAACAACACCUGGAGGGCCACAGGUCUGCCCUACCCCUGACAUAGUCCUGGAGGCCACUACUUUCUGCAGAGUUAUGUGUGCUUCAGUGUAAUUGAGAUCAUUCUGUGCCCUACUAUAUUUCCUGUUUCUUGUUAAAGAAAACCAGGCCAUAUGAAGUGACAAAGAAAGUUACUUUGAAGCAAUGGAAGGGUAUCAUCAUUAUCUCACAGCCAAAAGCUAUCUUACGGGGUUCUUGAAAGGCUGGCAUAGCACUAUGAGCUCUAUAGAGGCGGAAGAAGGUGGAACUAGAACAGUUAAGAAAAGAUUCACACAGCCAACUAUUUUACAGGGACCACGAGCAGAGGGGCAGUAGAGGGAAACACUAUUAGCAGGCUUUUCUGCCACGCUCGUCAGCGCGCCACAAUAGCUGAGUGCCUCAGAUUUAUUGGCAGUGUCCAUAGGCCCAUCCCAGGACAAUUAACUUGAUGACAUAGUGGCACAAAUGACAUAUUUGAAGUUAUUAUAAUAAGGCUACAUAGAGAGGGUCUCAAUAGGCCUGCUGACAGUACUGUGUGCUCACUUGGCAGAUUAUCUUGUAAACACCCUGCUUUUAGGGAUGCAAGCACACUUCUGCCCUCACAUCUUGGGCUGUCUUCUGCUGUUUGUUCGUCUGCGGGCCUGUUAGCUGGAGGUUCAGCUUAUUCUAUUGACCACAUUGUGCAGAAAGCUCUAAUUGCCGAUGGGAUUUUGGGAACACUCGUGUGCAGGCUCUACAGCCAACAAAGCUACUCGGUGGGGUUGUAUACCACAUAUCUGGGGACUUAGAAAGAGCCAGUCUCUCUGAUUUGGAGAGUUAGGACUGGUUUACACCUCUGUCUAUCCCAUGAUUCCUAUACAAGGGUCCAAGAAGCUUUUAUUUUGUCCCGCUGCUUUCCCUAGGAAAACCUGUUGUUUACUCCUGAACUGGAACAACUGUCAAUUGGGUUUUCUUCUCAGACCCGUCCGUCAAAAUCAUGGGAGAAACAGAAGUGUGGAUGAGUCUUUACUUUUGGUGGCUAAAAUGAUGAUUUUUAGGGAGCUGCAGUGAGGCUAAAAACAGGGUUGUAAGUUCAAGAGCUAUUGGAUCUCACAGCUAAAGAUAGGGUAGAGUAGAGUAGAGUAGAGUAGAGUAGAAGGGAAAGCUUGGGACAGUUUCAAACCUCUGGCAAAGUUUUCCAGAACUGUUUUCAGACUAAAAUGAUACAUGGGCCUCAGAACAAUUCCUUACAGGCAAGCAGUGGCAGGGCAUAAUUCUUCUCUCUGUUCUCUCACUUUCACUUUCCUUCCUUCCUUCCUUCUUCCAGACUCCACGGUCACUGAGGGCUGAUGCUAGGAGGGGGUGGAAUGGGAGUAAGUGAGUGGUAUUUGUGGAGUCAAGGGCUAAACUAGGGGAUGCAGGGUAGCAAGGGUGACUGGAUGGUAAAUUAGCCCAAGGAGAAACUGCAAACAUCCAGAUAUAGACUGAUUUUAGCCCCCAGCAUUUGUUAUAAAGGUUUUAGUGUAUAUGCCAACAGAGUGCCGAAAUGUAAUACUGAAACUAUAAUAAAGUACCCUGAAAUAACACUGUUAUGAGUUUGUUAAAGCUCUUUACACUUUAUGCAGUGGGUAAUAGCGACACUUAUUCCAUAAAACACAUUAAUUUAUAUUGUGUUAUAUAAUGCAUUUGAAAUAACAGUUUUGUGACUUGACAUUACACAAAUGUAUUCGUAGUAUUAUUUGUGGUCUAACUAAACAAUCACUUCCAAAGAAGUUACAUUAUGCAGCAGUGUUUCUGAUCUGAAAAGUACAGUAUGGGUUAAUUUAAUGUGUGUAUUUUUCUUUCUUUCACUGGACUUCCUUUUGCCAACUUUACCUUGUAUAAAUGAUUUUGCCUGUGAGAGUCUUUAUGUGGAAUGCAGAUCGACUAUUACUUCCUGAACAGAUUUAAAUUUAACACCAAUUUAGUCACUGUAGAAUUCCAGUAUUGGAAAAAACAGCUUCCAUAGGGCUUCUACAAUGUGCCAGAAAUAUGAUCUCAUACGUAGAAACAAAUUCAAAUGUGUUUUCUUUUACAUAUGUUUUCUUUUCAUAUAUUUUCCCCCACCUAUGCUUCUCUUUUAUCCCGAAGUUGCUUCCACUUUGUGCCAGAUCUCUGAGAACCUGGGAUAACUGGUCUCUUGUAUGAGGUAACUUUUAAUAAAAAUGGCCAAAAUCCAUCUUU
rnacentral:lncRNA from 1 species